UCCCCAGCAGGCUGGCUUUACGCCCAAUCACUCCACAGUCGACCACAUCUCUGCCGUACGUCUGCUGAUAGAGAAGACCCGUGGAUUCCAUAAAGACCGCCAUCUGUAUAACGGAUUCAUGGAUCUGAAGCCGCCUUCGACACCGUCUGCCACUCCUCUCUGUGGAACAUCCUCCAAACCCUCGGAGCUCCGCCCAAGACCACCGCUGUGUUCCAGCUGCUCUGCAGCAGAGAGCUGAGUCCGUAUGAACGGUCUGACUCCAGCUGGUUCACCGUCUCCAGCGGCGUUCUCCAGGGCCGUGUGGCUCCUGAUCUUUUAACUGCAUCAUGGACCGUCUGAGGUCCCGGGUCUGCAGGCGUCCCCGGAGCGUCCUUCAACAGCGACCACCUGACGGACCUGGAACACGCUGACGACCCCAUCCUGCUCAGACAGCCUGCAGUCAGCUGAGACGCUCUGGCUUCACCGUGAGGAGGAGCACAGCUCGGCUCCAGGGGAGCUGGACUGAAACCAGGUCCAUGCAUGUCGGUGAUGGACCAGAUCCACCUCCCAUGGAGCAGAUCCUCCUCCCAUGGACCAGAUCCACCUCCCAUGGACCAGAUCCACCUCCCAUGGACCAGAUCCUCCUCCCAUGGACCAGAUCCUCCUCCCAUGGACCAGAUCCACCUCCCAUGGACCAGAUCCUCCUCCCAUGGACCAGAUCCAGAUCCCAUGGACCAGAUCCUCCUCCCAUUAACCAGAUCCAGAUCCCAUGGACCAGAUCCUCCUUCCAUGGACCAGAUCCAGAUCCCAUUGACCAGAUCCACCUCCCAUGGACCAGAUCCUUCUCCCAUGGACCAGAUCCUUCUCCCAUGGACCAGAUCCUCCUUCCAUGGACCAGAUCCUUCUCCCAUGGACCAGAUCCUUCUCCCAUGGACCAGAUCCUUCUCCCAUGGACCAGAUCCUCCUCCCAUGGACCAGAUACUCCUCCCAUGGACCAGAUCCACCUCCCAUGGACCAGAUCCACCUCCCAUGCAAACCGGGAGCGACAUCGUGGAGCCUGUCAAGAACUUUGUGUCUCUGGGGUCCACGGUGACAGACAGCAGGACCUAGAACCAGAGAUUGACCGCAGACGAGUCCUGGCAGCCUCUGCUCUGCAGUCCCUCUGGAACCACUCUGGAUCCAGACCGUCUCACCAAGACCAAGCUCCGGGUCUACAGCCCGGCCGUCCUCUCCGUCCUGCUGUAUGGCUCAGAAACGAGGCCCCUGAACCACAGUCUGGCUCUGAUAGCAGGACUCUGAGAACCAUGGACAACAUCAGGACUCUGAGGACCAUGGAGAACAUCAGGACUCUGAGGACCAUGGAGAACAUCAGGACUCUGAGGACCAUGGAGAACAUCAGGACUCUGAGGACCAUGGAGAACACCAGGACUCUGAGGACCAUGGAGAACAUCAGGACUCUGAGAACCAUGGAGAACAUCAGGACUCUGAGGACCAUGGAGAACACCAGGCGGCCCAGCCAGUCUCCAGUGAAGGUCUCAGAGCCAGGCCAGCCCCGAGCAUCUUCCCUGGUCGCACAGCGCCGCCCUGCUGGCUGGACCACGUCCUCCGUCCCCCCCCAGAACAUCCGACAAGAGACGUUCUCCAGUUCGACCCGAAGCCCUCAGGCUGGAGACGACUACGAGGGAACCCCGGACCUGAUGGCUCCGCCCCCUCCAGCAACACGGAGCUGCUGAGGAGGAACAGAGCAGCUGGUUCACCUGGUUCACCUGGUUCACCUGGUUCACCUGGUUCACCUGGUC
ensembl:lncRNA